rnacentral:rRNA from 1 species
UACGUAGGGGGCAAGCGUUGUCCGGAAUCACUGGGCGUAAAGCGCGCGCAGGCGGCUGUCUACGUCCGGGGUGAAAGCCCAGAGCUCAACUCUGGGAUUGCCUUGGAUACGGGAUGGCUUGAGGAUCGGAGAGGCAAGGGGAAUUCCACGUGUAGCGGUGAAAUGCGUAGAGAUGUGGAGGAACACCGAUGGCGAAGGCAAUCCCCUGGGCCUGCACUGACGCUCAUGCACGAAAGCGUGGGGAGCAAACAGG